CGCCGGCAGCUCUAGUGGUGGCCAGUUUUUAUUGGGCCUAAAGCGUUCGUAGCCGGUUUAUUAAGUCUCUGGUGAAAUCCCGUAGCUUAACUAUGGGAAUUGCUGGAGAUACUAGUAGACUUGAGGUCGGGAGAGGUUCAGAGGUACUCCCAGGGUAGGGGUGAAAUCCUGUAAUCCUGGGAGGACCACCUGUGGCGAAGGCGUCUAACUGGAACGAACCUGACGGUGAGGGACGAAAGCUAGGGGCGCGAACCGGAUUAGAUACCCGGGUAGUCCUAGCCGUAAACGGAUGCGGACUUGGUGUUAGGAUGGCUUGAGCCGCUCUAGUGCCGAA
rnacentral:rRNA from 1 species